GAAGGCGAUCUGAUACCGCCCUAAUUCUGACCGUAAACGAUGCCACCUGACUAUCUGCCGAAGUUACUACCAUGACUCCCCGGGAAACCCCCGGGAAACCCUUCCCUGCGGGUUCCGGGGGAAGUAUGGAUGCUAAGCUGAAACUUAAAGGAAUUGACCGAAGGGCUCCACCAGGAGUGGAGCCUAUGGCUUAAUUUGGCUCGACACGGGGAACCUCACCCGGCCCCAACACCGGAAGGAUUGACAGAUUGAGAACUCUUUCUCGAUUCGUUGGGUGGUGGUGCAUGGCCGUUCUUAGUUGGCGAAGCGAUUUGUCUGGUUAAUUCCGAUGACCAACUAAACUCUUUGGUUAAGUAGUCCCUCCGGUUUUUGAUCUUUGCCUUUUUUCCUCCCCCCAACUUUCCCUU
rnacentral:rRNA from 1 species